GGGUCAGUAGGUUGGUCGUGCCACCGGUACGUACUGGUCUCACUGAUUCCUCCUUCCUGAAGAACCGUAAUGCCAUUAAUUUGGUGUUGCGGGGAAACAGGACUUUUACUUUGAAAAAAUUAGAGUGUUUAAAGCAAGCUAACGCUUUAAUACAUUAGCAUGGAAUAAUGAAAUAGGACGAUCGAUCCUAUUUUGUUGGUUUCUAGGAUUGACGUA
rnacentral:rRNA from 1 species